rnacentral:tRNA from 2 species
GGCUCGCUAGCAUAAUGGUAGUGCAUCCGACUCCAGAUCGGAAGGUUACAGGUUCGAUUCCUGUGCGGGUCA